CUGUCAUGGCCUGUGGGAGGCGUGUACAUGCAGAGGGUGGAUCGAUCUUUACACAGUGACUUGUCAAAGUCUAACUGAUACAGUCCUGGCCGGCUUUAGGACAAGUCGCAGGGCUGUCUUCACCCACCCACAUUUGUUUGUCAUUCGUGUUUUUUCAGCCCUGAUGAGAGUGGUUGAACAGCAGGCAUAGCUGUCUUGUGUG